rnacentral:rRNA from 1 species
CGAUAGUGAACCAGUACCGUGAGGGAAAGGCGAAAAGAACCCCGGCGAGGGGAGUGAAAAAGAACCUGAAACCGUGUACGUACAAGCAGUGGGAGCACGCUUAGGCGUGUGACUGCGUACCUUUUGUAUAAUGGGUCAGCGACUUAUAUUCUGUAGCAAGGUUAACCGAAUAGGGGAGCCGAAGGGAAACCGAGUCUUAACUGG